rnacentral:lncRNA from 1 species
GGAAAAUCCAGACAGAAAUGUUUACUGGCUGGAGCAACUUCAUGAACCAGGGACACUGGAAGGCUGGAUAUGCAAUAGUCACUCAUCAGGAGGUCCUAGAAGCAGAAGCCCUCCCUCCAGGGCUGCAGUGUUGGAAUACUCAUUCAGAGACUGUGAAGCCUCCGCGGGAGUCCAUGUGUGAACUUGCCCUAGGUAGGAAGAGAGGCAGAAAUGAUAUGGAAAGAAAAAAAGUUUAAAAACAGAGAUUUCUUUUGGUUUAAUUGACAACCAAUUCUGAGCAUCUGCUAACCGAGAUCUCAGCACUGAUCCCAAAACAGCAGCAGAUUUCUACUCCAGCCUCAACUGAACAAGUCUGACAAAUCAAGGUUUGUUUCCUAGAAGCAGAACCUGUGCCUGGGCUUCUAGUCUGUUAUUUAUUGGGAGAGUGUGCCCUUUAAGAGAGUAAAGAAAGCAAUAUAGUGAUCUGAAUGUGAAGAGAAAGAGCUGAGGAGACUGUGGAGCCAGAGAAAGACGUUUCUUGGUCUGACCCAAAGAGAGGAGUGCCUUUUGAACAAAAACCACACCCAGGAAUUGUCCUGUUUCUCCAGCUUGGGCCCUUCCCUUGUAGGAAGACAAAGUGACUCAGGCAAGGCAACUCCCUUAAACCCAGU